UACGGAGGGUGCAAGCGUUAUCCGGAUUCACUGGGUUUAAAGGGUGCGUAGGAGGGCAGGUAAGUCAGUGGUGAAAUCCCCGAGCUUAACUUGGGAACUGCCGUUGAUACUAUCUGUCUUGAAUACCGUGGAGGUGAGCGGAAUAUGUCAUGUAGCGGUGAAAUGCUUAGAUGAUGAACAUAGAACACCAAUUGCGAAGGCAGCUCGCUACACGAAUAUUGACUCUGAGGCACGAAAGCGUGGGGAUCAAACAGGGA
rnacentral:rRNA from 1 species